rnacentral:misc_RNA from 1 species
UCUCCGUUGGUGAACCAGCGGAGGGAUCAUUACAGGACUCGCAAGACUACUACAACCCUGUGAACUUAACUAUAAGCACGUUGCUUCGGCGGGUGUCUCGGACGGGGUUCUCCCUCCCCGAGACGCUAAACACGCCGGCAGCCUAAUAUACUCUGUCUCUUUGCGUUGGCAUCUCGAGUACAAUCAAACAAGUUAAAACUUUCAACAACGGAUCUCUUGGUUCUG